AAAUUUAUUACCUGUCUAUCUCGGGUACGAACAGGGCGAUACAGCGACGGUCUACAUUUGAAGACAACAAAAUGGAGAAGUCAGGACCUCCACCAAGCUAUAGUGGUCCCCCGCCAUCCUACCAGGGCCAAACAAGUUCGUCAACAGUUGUAUUUGCACAACAGCAACCGACUUUGGUGGCAGUUCAGUUGUUUAGGGAAACACCUGUGCGAGUUACUUGCCAGUAUUGCGGAAGUGACGUUUUCACUUCUACAAUGUUUGAAACGGGAACCAUCACUUGGUUGGCAUGCGCAAUAACAGCCUUCGUUGGGUAUGUUUCUGUUACUUAUUAAUUUACUCAAACACCAUACUUGAACAAUGCAUGUCACUGCAAAUUGCUUCACCAAAACAACUAACACUCUUUACCACUUUGAGUAACUUAAUUGUUUAACAAAACAACCAACAUACUUUAACCAUUUGUGUUUAUAAAAUUUGCUUCCCUUUAACCACUACACUUAAUAUUGAGCACUUUGUGGCACACUGCAGAUUGCUGCGGAGCAACAAUUUCCAACAUCUCCGUUGUUUUAUCGUAAUUGGUUAUUGUUGACGGGUACCUGUUGUUUGUUCAAUAGGUGCUGGUUAGGCUGUUGUUUGAUCCCGUUCUGUGUGGACGGCUGUAAGGACGUGGUCCAUUCCUGCCCCAACUGUCGACAGGUGCUCGGCCGCUACGACAGAAUCUAAGGAACCAGUAACAGGGUCCCCAGCCAUCAAAUUACAGUGUAGUUCAUGAUUGUAUUCGUGCACACAUUGUUAACAUUUUUUUUGAUUAUAGGACAAAUUUUGGGGAUUUACUUUGAAAUCAUUAGAGUAAACAUUUAUUGUUUUUGUUUAAAUGAUUUUCAUGAUAAGAAUUGUUGUAUAUGUUUGAUACGUACAUUAAUUGUUACGGAUUUUAAUUCUGUUUUUAAUAAAUAUCUUUUUGAUUAUAGGACAAAUUUUUGGGAUUUACUUUGAUAUCAAUAGCAUAAAUUAAAUGACUUUGUUAAAAUGAUUUUCAUGAUAAGAAUUGUUGUAUAUGUUUGAUAUGUACUAUAAUUGUUAUGGAUUAUAUUUUCUGUUUUUAAUAAAUAUAUAUCUUUUAAUAUAAAAG
rnacentral:misc_RNA from 1 species